rnacentral:rRNA from 1 species
CGGGGUGGAGGUAAUGUAUGGGGAUCUGCCUGAUGGCGGGGGAUAACUACUGGAAACGGUAGCUAAUACCGCAUAAUGUCUACGGACCAAAACGGGGGAACCGUCCGGGCCUCGCGCCAUCAGAUGAACCCAUAUGGGAUUAGCUAGUAGGUAAGGUAACGGCUUACCUAGGCGACGAUCCCUAGCUGGUCUGAGAGGAUGAUCAGCCACACUGGGACUGAGACACGGCCCAG